rnacentral:rRNA from 1 species
AGUCGAACGCUAAGUCUUCGGACUUGGAGUGGCAAACGAGGUAGUAACACGUAGGUACACACCCCAAAGUCAGGAAUAACUUCGGGAAACCGGAGCUAAUACUUGAUAGUCCCUAAGGGGUAAAGCUUUUGCGCUUUGGGAGUGGCCUGCGAGGUAUCAGCUUGUUGGUAAGGUAAUGGCUUACCAAGGCUAAGACGCCUAGGGGAGGUGAGAGCCUGACCCCCACCGAUGGCACUGCGACACGGGCCAUACUCCUACGGGAGGCCGCAGUCGAGAAUCUUCCGCAAUGGGCGAAAGCCUGACGGAGCGACGCCGCGUGGUUGAUGAAGCACUUCGGUGCGUAAAGACCUUUUCUGAGGGAGGAAGUUUAUUGACGUUACCUCAGGAAUAAGGGGCUCCCAAACUCGUGCCAGCAGGAGCGGUAAUACGAGUGCCCCAAGCGUUACCCGAAAUCACUGGGCGUAAAGGGUGUGUAGGCGGCUGUGUUAGUCGCUUGUUAAAGCCUCUGGCUCAACCAGAGAAUCGCAAGCGAAACGGCACAACUAGAGGGUGUGAGGGGUCUAGGGAACUCAUGGUGUAGGGGUGAAAUCCGUUGAUAUCAUGGGGAACACCAAAAGCGAAGGCACUAGACUGGCGCACUCCUGACGCUGAGACACGAAAGCGUGGGUAGCGAAU